rnacentral:rRNA from 1 species
GACGAACGCUGGCGGCGUGCUUAACACAUGCAAGUCGAACGACGUGGCGAACGGGUGAGUAACGCGUAAUCACCCUCCCCUUCAGAGGGGGACAACAGUUGGAAACGACUGCUACUACCCCAUACUGAAGGGGGAGUUUGUGUCUGAUUGGGUAGUUGGUGAGGUAAAGGCUCACCAAGCCGACGAUCUCUAGCUGGUCUGAGAGGGUGACCAGCCAAACUGGGACUGGGACACGGGCCAGACUCCUACGGGAGGGAGCAGUGGGGAAUCUUCCGCAAUGGACGAAAGGCUGACGGAGCAACGCCGCGUGAGUGAUGACGGCCUUCGGGUUGGAAAGCUCUGUUAAUCGGGACGCGGUACCGGAAUAGAAAGCCACGGCUAACUACGUGCCAGCAGCCGCGGUAAUAC